AGUCAGAUGUGAAAGCCCGGGGCUUCACCUCGGAAUAGCAUUUGAAACUGGCAGACUAGAGUACUGUAGAGGGGGGUAGAAUUUCAGGUGUAGCGGUGAAAUGCGUAGAGAUCUGAAGGAAUACCGGUGGCGAAGGCGGCCCCCUGGACACAUACUGACACUCAGAUGCGAACGCGUGGGGAGCAAACAGGAUUAGAUACCCUGGUAGUCCUCGCCGAAAACGAUGUCUACUUGGAGGUUGUGGCCUUGAGCCGUGGCUUUCGGAGCUAACGCGUUAAGUAGACUGCCUGGGGAGUACGGUCGCAAGAUUAAAACUCAAAUGAAUUGACGGGGGCCCGCACAAGCGGUGGAGCAUGUGGUUUAAUUCGAUGCAACGCGAAGAACCUUACCUACUCUUGACAUCCAGAGAACUUUCCAGAGAUGGAUUGGUGCCUUCGGGAACUAUGAGACAGGUGCUGCAUGGCUGUCGUCAGCUCGUGUUGUGAAAUGUUGGGUUAAGUCCCGCAACGAGCGCAACCCUUAUCCUUGUUUGCCAGCACUUCGGGUGGGAACUCCAGGGAGACUGCCGGUGAUAAACCGGAGGAAGGUGGGGACGACGUCAAGUCAUCAUGGCCCUUACGAGUAGGGCUACACACGUGCUACAAUGGCGCAUACAGAGGGCAGCCAACUUGCGAGAGUGAGCGAAUCCCAAAAAGUGAGUCGUAGUCCGGAUCGGAGUCUGCAACUCGACUCCGUGAAGUCGGAAUCGCUAGUAAUCGUGGAUCAGAAUGCCACGGUGAAUACGUUCCCGGCCCUUGUACACACCGCCCGUCACACCAUGGGAGUGGGCUGCAAAAGAAGUAGGUAGUU
rnacentral:rRNA from 1 species